UUGGACUGUAGAGGUGAGCAGUUCCUUCACUGGCCGCGAGGGAGUGGAGGCUCAGUUUGAGCAAAAGGUUGCAAGAAGCACCGUAGGAAGAAAAGCGGAUUUUAAAAUGGUAACAUGAUCAAUGUUUUGUGUUUAAAGUUGUGAUUUGUAAAAAAGAACUUGAGGUACUUUGUUUUUUGUUACAGAGGUUUGGUUUCUUCAUAGGCUUGAUUGAGAAAAUUCUAUCUGGGAAUGUGUCAUCUCUGCCUUCUCGACUUAAGGCUUAGUGAAAAAGAAGUAGCAGUUGAGGACACAACACAAUGAGCCUCACUGCUGCUUAAGAAUUUUAAAUUUGGAAUUUCCCUCUUUGCAUUCUACAGCUAUAGAUGCACCUUUACACAAAUAUUGGGCAUAAACCAUAUAAGCCUCAGAAUUCUGACAAUAACUUAAGGAUAUGAAGUGGAACCACUGCAAGAAAUGGAUAAGUGAAGUGGCUUCCCAUGGAGAAAUCCUGUUGAAAACAUGUGCCACAGUACACAGUUCCAACCACCACAACUGAAGGAAGAAGGUCGUUGCUGUCAAGGCUAGCUUCUAGAAGACUACCACGAGUGAGACUGAAACAAAAUUACCAGGAACCAAGACAUUCUAAGUGAAGAGGAAACUAAGGAGAAUAUUUUUUCAGUAUUUCCCGUGACUAUGAGAUGUACUUUAGACUUGGAUGCGAGAUUGAUGAGGAGACACCUGAUAAGCUAGAAGUUUUUCAGAGCUAAGGUUGAAUCCUUAUUGGCCAGAGACAUGGAGACAUCUAUUAACUACACUACAAAGGAAGGGAGAUCAAUUUUCUCUACUGUUGAUACAUUGAUACACUAUACCCCUCUUCCUGUAGUUUUGCUGCCUUCAGGUCCGUUAACUGGCUAAAAGAAACCAAUUAUGCCAUCUUCUCAAGAUGAAUGCUCCAAUGUCCAAACCCUUACUUUAAUCCCUGUUGUGACCUGUUUAUGCUUUGUCUGAAAGACUUCUAAAGUAGAUUAAUAGAUCCCAAAGUAUAAUUUCAGCGGUGUUAGCUUGGCAUGGGCUCAAGAUGCAAGUUCAUUUUUUUACACUAUGUUAGAUGAAAGCAGUGGCCUAACAGGGUUUUUUGUAAAAAUACUUGGAUAUGAUCCUAUGAAUGAUUUUGCAGUAUUUACAGAAAGUGAUUCCAAUUAUUGCGUGGAAAUAACAAGCACAAAAGAUGGCAAGUUCACAACUGUUAACUUGAACUUAAGGACUUCAUUGGAGGAAGGAAGUAGACAAAAUGAAAAGGCCAACUCUUUUUUGUGGGUUUGUGAGCGUGUCACCAUUUUGCUGAGAAAAAUUGGUGUGAGUGCUGCAUCAGAGGGAGAAUUGGGAUAUUUGAAUAAAGGUGCCCCUUGGAGCAGUUGCUACCGGUUUUAUGUACUUAUCAUUUACGUCUCUUUGUUUCUGGUUAGAUAAUGUUAUUCACCAAUCACAUGUACCUUAAGGUGAUUGGAGCUUCACAAAUAUAAUUUUAGAAGUGGUUAGGUUACAUUCUAUAUGAAUACUUGAUUCCUUUUCUAUAUAUUUCUGCAUUCCAUGGAUUUUGUAA